rnacentral:rRNA from 1 species
GGAAGCUUGCUUCCAUUGACGACGAGCGGCGGACGGGUGAGGAACACGUAGGAAUCUACCUGGAAGAGGGGGACAACUAGGGGAAACUCUAGCUAAUACCGCGUAAUCUCUUCGGAGGAAAGCUGCCUUUCGGGGUGGCGCUUUCAGAGGGGCCUGCGUCCGAUUAGCUUGUUGGUGAGGUAAAGGCUCACCAAGGCGAUGAUCGGUAACUGGUCUGAGAGGACGGCCAGUCACACUGGGACUGAGACACGGCCCAGACUCCUACGGGAGGCAGCAGUGGGGAAUAUUGGACAAUGGGGGCAACCCUGAUCCAGCGAUGCCGCGUGGGUGAAGAAGGCUUUCGGGUUGUAAAGCCCUUUAGGCUGGGAAGAAGGUGCUGAGUUGAAUAGGCUCAGUUACUUGACGGUACCAGCAGAAUAAGCACCGGCAAACUCUGUGCCAGCAGCCGCGGUAAUACAGAGGGUGCGAGCGUUAAUCGGAUUUACUGGGCGUAAAGGGCGCGUAGGCGGCCGUAUGAGUGUGAUGUGAAAGCCCUGGGCUUAACCUGGGAAGUGCAUCGCAAACGAUACGGCUGGAGUACAUGAGAGGGUGGUGGAAUUUCCGGUGUAGCGGUGAAAUGCGUAGAGAUCGGAAGGAACGUCGAUGGCGAAGGCAGCCACCUGGCAUGAUACUGACGCUGAGGCGCGAAAG